UUAGAUAACGUUUCUCAAUUCGGACUAACUACAGACAUACUACUCUUCAGCAACAGAGAAUCUUUCUGAAGUUUGAAGAACUGUAAGAGUCUUCAGCUUUUUAUUUCCUUGUAUCAACAGUGUCAGCCAGGAAGACAAACAGGAAGACUUGUUAAUCUGAGAAACGGAGAACAGGCGAAUACUGUUCAGGAGUAUAAAUAUUUAUCUUUACGCAGAUACAUAAAAAUGUUACAAAAAACCUUUUUUUUAUAGAUUCACAUCUUAUGGUUCAAGGGGAAACAUGUAAAAAAACUUCCCGCUUGCUAUUAGUUAAUAUACUUUUAACGUUUCUAUUUUCUAUUUAAAUACAAAAAUGACCGCUAAUAAUGAAAGUUUUAGUCAACGAAUGAACAAAUCUGUAAUUAAAUCAAGCUGAGGCAAAAACGAAGCGCAAUGUCAACCUACGAAUCGUGUGGAGGAAGAGUGGGCGAGACUGGUGUUUAUGCCAAGCCAGUAACUAGGUCUAUAUCACGGGAAGGCAACCAGCGCUGUAAACAGAUGCCACAUGAGGAGAAAGAACAGCGUGCCCGAGACGAGAGUUGAACCCAGGACACCCAUCCUUCACUGUAUGGGUGAUAGGCGCUAACCGUUGCGCCACCGGACCGCCUUGGUGCUCUGUGUGUUCUCCUGUGUAUACACCAUUUAAAAGCAAUGCCUUCUAGGUAUAAAUAUCUGAAAAGAUUUGUGACAACUGUGUCGAUAUGCAUCUUUACUUUUUUGGAAGAUUGUCGCGCGUGGAAAGUGCAGACUGUCAGCCAUGAUAUUAAUGUGGAAAACGGAGUGGAGUCCAACAUUGAUUUCUUCCUCACUGAUUACCGAUCUCUGAAUGGUAGUAUACGGAUAAUUGUCCAACAUCGGUCAAGUAAUGGAAGUUUUAGCAAAAAGUGUCGGAUUGAUCACUCAGACACAGGAGUCUGUCAGCCGACACUCGGUCCAUGCGAGUGUGUGGGUGAAAGUUCAGGAUCAUAUCGAUAUCGACUGAGGAUGACCUUUAGAGAGCCAGAUGGCGGCCAGUGGGUGUUCACCACUGGCAACAAUGAGGAGAUGUUUGUUAACAUUACAGUCAUUCCACGUCGUGCCUUUAAAAUCUACACCAAAAGCAAGAGUAUAACUGUUGAAAACGGACUGAAAUCGAAUGUCGACUUCUUUCUCAAUGAUUCUACAGCUGUAGAUAUCGGUGUGAGGAUAGUUGUUCAACAUCAAAACGUUGGUGGUGUGACAUUUGACCCUAAAUGUCACAUACACCACUCAAAGACAGGCGGAUGUCAAAUCUUAUUUGGCCCGUGUGAGUGCAUAGGUGAAAGGUCAGAGACAUAUCAAUACCGAUUGAGGAUGGUCUUUACACAACAAGAUGGCGGUCUGUGGAAGUUUGACAUUGUCAGUCACGAGGGGACAAUUGUUAACAUCACAGUCAUUGGUCAACAGAGUACAGAACGACCAGAAGUGAAGGGGUUAACACCAGUCAUUUCGGUCAUCACCGUUAUUGCCAUUCUCAUCAUCAUAUCGUUGGUCGCAGUCCUCCGGUGUCGUGCCAGGUCAGAACACACUCUCGAGGGCGAAGCAGCACAGAUGAAUGAAAUAACAGAAAUUAAUUCCAUGGACUGUCAACUGUAUCAUAUUCUUGAUAAAGUGGAAUACGUCGACCACGUAACGCAGACUUUAAGAGAAUCUUUGUCACGUGACGGACAGUCAGCUGACCGCCUUGGUCAAUCCACUGAUGUGGGUGACGUUCAGCUCUACACUGUGGUAGAAAUGCUUCAAUAACUCUCAUUUGGUAGGACAGGUCAAAACAUUUAUAGUAAAGCCAUGGCGUUGUCAUCGAUUUCAAACAUCAGGAAGUAAGAAAGGGCAAAGGUCGAACAACUUCUGUGAAGUCACGUCGUCUGCUUUGGUCAGUCACACUUUCUUUCUGUCCUUGGAAGAUGUCUUCGUUAUGGUGUAAUAGUACAGUGGGAUUGUCGCACGUGGAAAGUGCAGACCGACAGCCAUGAUAUUACUGUGGAAAAGGGAGUGGAGUCCAGCAUUGAUUUCUACCUCUCUGAUUAUCGAUCUCUGAAUGUUAGUCUACAACUAAUUGUCCAACAUCAGUCGACUGAUCGGCCUUUCGGCAAAAAAUGUCAGAUCGAGCACUCAGCCUCAGAAGUUUGUCACCCGACACUCGGUCCAUGUGAGUGUAUGGGUGAAAGUUCAGGGUCAUAUCGAUAUCGACUGAGGAUGACCUUUACACAGCAAGAUGGCGGCCAGUGGCUGUUCCAGAUUGUUAACCAUGGGACGACACGUGUUAACAUCACCGUCAUUCAAAGCAUCACUUCAUCACAAGAUCACCAAAGUACAGAGCCUGCACAAGUGACUGGUCUAACCCCUAUCUCGAAAGGCUACACUCUGUCAACUACAACCCUAUUCUUUUAAAUAUC